rnacentral:rRNA from 1 species
CCUACGGGAGGCAGCAGUAGGGAAUCUUCCACAAUGGGCGAAAGUCUGAUGGAGCAACGCCGCGUGAGUGAAGAAGGGUUUCGGCUCGUAAAGCUCUGUUGGUAGUGAAGAAAAAUAGAGGAAGUAACUGGCCUUUAUUUGACGGUAAUUACUUACAAAGUCACGGCUAACUACGUGCCAGCGGCCGCGGUAAUACGUAGGUGGCAAGCGUUGUCCGGAUUUAUUGGGCGUAAAGCGAGCGCAGGCGGUUAAAUAAGUCUGAUGUGAAAGUCUUCGGCUCAACCAGAGAAUUGCAUUAGAAACUGUUUAACUUGAGUGCAGAAGAGGUGAGUGGAAUUCCAUGUGUAGCGGUGGAAUGCGUAGAUAUAUGGAAGAACACCAGUGGCGAAGGCGGCUUUCUGGUCUGCAACUGACGCUGAGGCUCGAAAGCAUGGGUAGCGAACAGGAUUAGAUACCCUUGUAGUC